UACGUAGGGGGCAAGCGUUUUCCGGAUUUAUUGGGCGUAAAGCGCGCGCAGGCGGUCUCUUAAGUCUGAUGUGAAAGCCCACGACUCAACCGUGGAGGGUCAUUGGAAACUGGGAGACUUGAGUGUAGGAGAGGAAAGUGGAAUUCCACGUGUAGCGGUGAAAUGCGUAGAGAUGUGGAGGAACACCAGUGGCGAAGGCGACUUUCUGGCCUAUAACUGACGCUGAGGCGCGAAAGCGUGGGGAGCAAACAGG
rnacentral:rRNA from 1 species